UUUCCGUAGGUGAACCUGCGGGAGGAUCAUUAUUGGAUUUUGAAACUUCAGGCUGCUGCUGGCUCUCCUCGGAGGGCAUGUGCACGCUUGUUGUCCAUUAUUUCUCCCACUGUGCACAAAUUGUAGACCUUUCAGUAGGCCUAUGUUGUUUUUCACAAUCUCUGAAUGUAAUAGAAUGGUUUUGAAUCUUGGGAAAUACAAUACAACUUUCAGCAACGGAUCUCUUGGCUCUC
rnacentral:misc_RNA from 1 species